GAUCUUUCGGGCACCUUUGAUAUCAGACUCCUCAGUAUUGACCUCAUAAAGCUGGACUUCUCUUCCCAACUUAACCCCUCUCAAAUGAUUCCUUGCAGAAGCCACUAUGACUUGAAGAAACCUGGUGAAAGGGCUCCCCAUAGGCUUUUGGAAACGAUAGUAACGUAUACCAGCUGCUAAAAUAAUGACCGAAACAAUCGUGGUUCCUGUAGGCACCCCAAAGCCCCAGCCCCA
rnacentral:misc_RNA from 1 species